GGAGCCAGGAAAUGAAAGCAACUACAAGGAAGAUCCUGGGAUCUUGACAGACGUACUGAUGGAAGAGUCAAAAGGCACAAAAAGUUCUGAAGACAAAUACAGGUGAUGGAAAAGGAUGGAGUGUGUUUAUUUAAAUAAGGAUCUCAGGAUGCAAUAUGGAGCAAUAAGUCAAGCAACACUGCUAAUGCCCAGAGGACAUGGGGAAAGGACAACUUUCUGAGAAGGGAAGGAAAUGGAAACACAUGGGAAAGGGGUUGGUGAAGGGUCCCGUUCCAGGGCUAUUGUUUAGAAAGGACAUCCAACCUAUCUGAGGAUGGAUGCACCUCAAGAGCUUGGGAUUUGCAGAAAAGGGAAGGUUGCAUCUAUAAAAUAGCAGAGAGCACUCGAAUUAACUGCACGUGAACUCAGCCUCGCAUGCGCUACAUAGCCAGAGAUGAUGUCUACCACCACUGAGCUCUCCUGGAGUCAGCCAAGGGCUAUGUACAGCAACAAACCAGCAGGUUACUGGAUAGGUGAAUGAAUGCCUGCUGACUGAAGGAAAAAACAACCCCCCACACACACAUACUGAAAUUAGAGCAAAGUCCCACAGUAUUCUGAACAAGAGGACAAGACAAGUGCCAAAAAUAAACGAUGGCAAUGAUGGGACAGAAAUCCAGAGGUGGCACAGGACUGCAGGUCCUGCUGCUGAAAGAGGGCUGCAAAGCAGAAUCUUCAAGAACCAGCUUUUGGGCACUAAACAAACACAUGCACUGAACCAUCUCCAAAACCCAAAGGGGAGGCCUGACUACUCUUUUUUUUUUUUUUGGAGAUUGGCAGAGAUUCGCUCAAAAGAAAAAUGCUGCUGAAUUGUCCCAAUUUCUGCAUUUCCUCUGAACUUUGGUGAGAAAACCCAGAUAAUGGUCUUAAAAGUCACUCAGGUGGAGGACCCUACUCCUGCACACUAUGUACCUACCUCCCCUGCAUAUGCUGUAUCUGACAUACGAAAAUCCUUUUCAGACUUUCUAAAGGAACAUCUACCAUAUUUUUAAAUCACUGUGGCACAUACUUUUUAUGUGACAGGUUUGUUAUAGUGCUUUUAUUUUCACAUAAUUUUUUCUCCUAUGCAUCUGUCAAAGGAAAAUUAUAUUAUUUUAACGAAGAACUAUAGUUCUUUUUUUUUAAAACAAUACUCGUUAAAAGCUGGACACUUUGUGCAAUACUUAGCAAAAAAAAUAAUAUAAAAUAAAAAACAAAACAAAAUUUGAGCAAAACAAAAUCAAAUUUAAUGGUCUUAAAUGCAAAAGUAAAAACAAACAAAAAACACAAAAAAGCAAAAGAAAAUUAACAGAAACAGAACAACUCAAAGAUUCAAGGCAGUCUGCAGAAAACUUGGGGGAUUAAUCUUUAAAUCUACAAAUCAAGGUUUUUUAAAGUAAUAUCUAACUUGCAAGAAGUAAGUACUUUUCUGCUGAGUGUUCAAUACGUAAAGCUAGUCAUCAAAACAAAAUCCUAUUAAAAUAGAAAAAUCUAGCACUCAUUAGAAGGGAUGCGAGAAAUACAAUGCUCAAAUGUUGAACUGUUUUUACAAAAUAAAACUGCCCUUAGGUAUUCAAAACAAUAACGAUCUUUGAAAAUGAGUAAGAAUCUUGCUGCAUUAUAAUGUACCA